rnacentral:rRNA from 1 species
AUGGGAGGUCCAGACGAGCGUCAAGCCAUAGCCGCCGGGGAGCUCAUCUCCGCCCGCCACCCUCCUCCCACCGAGGGUUGCGCCGUCGUAGGCGUCGCAAACCUGCCGCCUCCUGGAUUCCUCGCGCCCCUCCCACACGCACCACGGCCGUCGGCCUGGUCGAUCCCGCCAGGCAGGAGUCCAGGGACCUGGAGGCGGAAGCAGAGUGUGUCCUCGAUCAUGGCCAACCUGGACGACCAUGGCCAGAACAAGGAUGAGAGCAUCGGGUUGAGGCUCUCCGUGAAGCGGGAGAGGAAGAGGAGCAAGUACCUCUUGCUGCCAUACACCAACGAUCUUGACGGGCUGGAUCUCGACGAGAAGGAGGAGGAUGUCGGUGCCCGGGAGGUCUUGCUGUUGGUGCGCGGCUUCGCCAAGGACAUCUUUCAUCGGAUGUAUUUUCCUAAGGCUGCAAAGGGGUAUCUCGGAAGGCUUAGGAGCUCAACGUUCUUGCCGGAGAAUACUUUUGCAAAUGGUGUUGCUGUUCCUGAAUGUCCAGCAGAGGAUGCUUUUGCAAAAGCUACUGCAGAUGCUACCAUUGUGGUAUCUUAUUCAUCAUGUGAUUCUGAGAAGAAACAAGGCGAAGGUGCAUUCAAGGGGAGCGGAGGGAAGAAUGAUCAAGAUGGAAGUGGAGGUUCUUCUAUCAAAGGGAAAGAGGUGGAGAAAGCCCCUCCACCAAAAAACCAUCUUGACCAUGGCUUACUUAUUACUCCCGCUAUUCCUAUCAGGCAAGUGAGGCCAGAAGGUGUGAUAAGCCAUGUGAAACCAGGAGUUGAGGUAGAUACUGUCACAAGUGUGCAGAGGCCAACGGAAGAAACCGUUCCUCCUACAACUGGUUUGCUUCCUAUGCAUGAAGGCAUAUCUUCUCAGCUCGCACAUGGAAAUGAAGACACUGUCCAAGAACAAGAACCUAAUGCUUCUCUGCAGGUGAUGGUUCUGAAGUUACCGAACGUUCAUCCGCCCCCACCUGCCCCGACAACUCAGCUGAGCAUCCCUGAAAUGAGGAGGGGGGUCAAGCACAUGAUCUCGCACCUGCAAGAUGGAGUCAAGCCCGUCCAGGACAACCUUCUAGGCGAUUUGCAAAGGCUUCUGGCAAACCUUGACAGGGCACAACCCGGGCCUUCUAGCUCUGCGACCACUACUUCAUAG